rnacentral:lncRNA from 1 species
AGCUUCCUACAAUUAUCCUCAUCUCAUGGAAAAACUAGACAGAGGAAAAGAAAAGAGGCAAAUGGAGCUUCCUUUGCUAAGAGCUCAAAUAACUCUCCUCUACAUAGUCUUCUUCAAACAAAAACACAAAGCUAAUUUUCCAUUUACUCUUUGAGAGUUCCACAGAAAAACAACCUGAAACAACCCUUUUACUUCAUCAGCCAGGUUAUUCAUACUGAUGACCAAGGUUCAGCUACAGCCUCCUCUGUGGUACUUCUUCAGUCUCUG